rnacentral:tRNA from 1 species
UGUAGUUCAGUGUUAGAAUGCUUGCCUAGCAUACAUGAGACCUUGGGUUCAGUUCCCAACA